CUUUCUGAAGAUGAACAUUCAAUUUAUCACGACGGUCUACCGAGCUACGGCAAUGGUGAUAACUGCCUGUGACAGGGCAUGAGUCUGAUC
rfam:Setosphaeria turcica Et28A unplaced genomic scaffold SETTTscaffold_1, whole genome shotgun sequence.